AACGCACGAGACCUGCGGACCUGCGGAGGGAUCAUUAAUGAGAAACUGCCCCUCGCGGGUAGAUCUCCCACCCUUUGUAAACUUACCUUUGUUGCUUUGGCAGGCCCGUCUCCGGACCGCCGGCUUCGGCUGGCCAGUGCCUGCCAGAGGAUUCUAAAACUCUGUCUGUCAGUGUUGUCUGAGUCUAUAUACAGUCGUUAAAACUUUUAACAACGGAUCUCUAGAUCGGAAGAGCACACG
rnacentral:misc_RNA from 1 species